UGGGGAAUUUUCCGCAAUGAGCGAAAGCUUGACGGAGCAAUACCGCGUGGAGGAUGACGGCUUUAGAGUUGUAAACUCCUUUUCUCAUUGAAGAAUUUCUGACGGUAUUUGAGGAAUAAGCAUCGGCUAAUUUCGUGCCAGCAGCCGCGGUAAUACGAGAGAUGCAAGCGUUAUCCGGAAUUAUUGGGUGUAAAGAGUACGUAGGCUGUUGAAUGUGUUUGGUGUUAAAUUUUAAGGCUCAACCUUGACUUUGUACUGAAAACUAUUUGACUAGAAUUUAAUAGAGGUAGAGGGAAUUUUCAGUGUAGCGGUGAAAUGUGUAGAUAUUGGAAAGAACGCCAGUGGCGAAAGCGCUCUACUAGGUUUUUAUUGACGCUGAGGUACGAAAGCUAGGGUAGUG
rnacentral:rRNA from 1 species